rnacentral:rRNA from 1 species
GACGAACGCUGGCGGCGUGCUUAACACAUGCAAGUCGAGCGGAAAGGCUCCUUCGGGGGUACUCGAGCGGCGAACGGGUGAGUAACACGCGAGUAAUCUGCCCUCCACUUCGGGAUAGCCACCGGAAACGGUGAUUAAUACCGGAUAUGACCGCUUCUCGCAUGGGAUGGUUGUGGAAAGUUUUUCGGUGGGGGAUGUGCUCGCGGCCUAUCAGCUUGUUGGUGGGGUAAUGGCCUACCAAGGCUUCGACGGGUAGCCGGCCUGAGAGGGUGCCCGGUCACACUGGGAAUGAGACACGGCCCAGACGCAUACGGGAUGCAGCAGUGGGGAAUAUUGGACAAUGGGCGGAAGCCUGAUCCAGCAACGCCGCGUGAGGGAUGACUGCCUUCGGGUUGUAAACCUCUUUCACCUAUGACGAAGCGAAAGUGACGGUAGUAGGAGAAGAAGCACCGGCCAACUACGUGCCAGCCGCCGCAGUAAAAC